rnacentral:rRNA from 1 species
UACGUAGGGGGCAAGCGUUGUCCGGAUUUAUUGGGCGUAAAGAGCGUGUAGGCGGCUAGGUAGGUCCGUUGUGAAAACUCGAGGCUCAACCUCGAGACGCCGAUGGAAACCAUCUGGCUAGAGUCCGGAAGAGGAGAGUGGAAUUCCUGGUGUAGCGGUGAAAUGCGCAGAUAUCAGGAAGAACACCGGUGGCGAAGGCGGGUCUCUGGGCCGAUACUGACGCUGAGGAGCGAAAGCGUGGGGAGCGAACAGG